rnacentral:tRNA from 1 species
AAAAAGAUAAGCUAAACAAGCUGUUAGGUUCAUACCCUGAGAAUGGGAACCCCCACCUCCCUCUUUUUA